AUACGUAGGGUGCAAGCGUUAAUCGGAAUUACUGGGCGUAAAGCGUGCGCAGGCGGUUCGGAAAGAAGGAUGUGGAAUCCCAGGGCUCAAACUUGGAACUGCAUUCUUAACUACCGAACUAGAGUAUGUCAGAGGGGGGUAGAAUUUCGCGUGUAGCAGUGAAAUGCGUAGAUAUGCGGAGGAAUACCGAUGGCGAAGGCUGCCCCGUGGGAUAAUACUGACGCUCAUGCACGAAAGCGUGGGUAUCAAACAGGAGUAGAUACCCUGGUAGUCCACGCCCUAAACGAUGUCAACUAGCUGUUGGGCCCUUAGGGGCUUAGUAGCGUAGCUAACGCGUGAAGUUGACCGCCUGGGGAGUACGGUCGCAAGAUUAAAACUCAAAUGAAUUGACGGGG
rnacentral:rRNA from 1 species